GAAAAUUUGGGAGAGUUGUACAUUUUUCCAGAAAGAAGGUACAGACAGAAAACGAAACCCUCGGCUGCUAAUCAAAUCAAGAUCAAACAACAAGGAACCCUAGAAAGUGAGAUUGUGUGGCAAUGGCUGAAGAGAACAAGCAAGAACAAUCAGUUGUACCAUCAGGAUACAAUUUGGAUGCAAAAUGGGAUGCUUGUCUUGAUUUGGGUGUUCGCCGUUUUACUUACUUUUCAUUAAUCGGUGGCUUUGCUGGUCUUCUCCUCUUCCGGAGUCCCGUGACACGGUGGGCAUCUACGGCAUUUGGUGCUGGGGCAGGUCUAGGAUCUGCAUACACAGAAUGCUCUCAGAAAUUUGGUGGAUAUCCUGGAAAAUCAACUGCUAGUAUUUCUGAGACUCCUAUUACCAAGGUCGGAGAGGACUGAAGCAACCCUUUCAGGGAGAUCACAGAUCAAAUUUUUCUUUAACGUAUGAGAUUGUUGUUUCCCUGUUUUCACCCAUUGGCCUUUUGUCCUUUGUUAUGCCAAAUAUUAUUUUGCAUGACUUGAUAUUUAGAGCAA
rnacentral:misc_RNA from 1 species